rnacentral:tRNA from 1 species
UUUAAUGUGGCAGAAUAGUGCAAUGAAUUUAAGCUUCAUAUAUAAAGAAUUUCUUUCAUUAAAA